UAAUACGGAGGGUGCGAGCGUUAAUCGGAAUUACUGGGCGUAAAGCGUGCGUAGGCGGUUAUUUAAGUCAGAUGUGAAAGCCCCGGGCUUAACCUGGGAACGGCAUUUGAUACUGGGUAACUUGAGUUUAGGAGAGGAGAGUGGAAUUUCCGGUGUAGCGGUGAAAUGCGUAGAGAUCGGAAGGAACACCAGUGGCGAAGGCGGCUCUCUGGCCUAAAACUGACGCUGAGGUACGAAAGCGUGGGUAGCAAACAGGAUUAGAUACCCUGGUAGUCCACGCCGUAAACGAUGUCAACUAGCCGUUGGGUCUUUAUUAAGACUUAGUGGUGCAGCUAACGCAUUAAGUUGACCGCCUGGGGAGUACGGCCGCAAGGUUA
rnacentral:rRNA from 1 species